GGAGAGAUGGCAGAGCGGUUGAAUGCACCGGUCUUGAAAACCGGCGUGCCCGUAAGGGUACCGAGGGUUCGAAUCCCUCUCUCUCCG
rnacentral:tRNA from 1 species